UUGUAAAAUUAUUUCAAAUAUAUAAAAGUUACCUUUUGCAUAAUGGUUUAAUUAAAUUUUAAAAAUUUUUCAUUCCCGAAAUAAAAAGAUCUAAUAAAAAAUUAAAAAUAUGUUUUAAAAUAUUUAUUUAAUUUUUUAUUAGGUGUGAAAGGCUAGUCAAUUUUUAUGAUAUCUGGAUAAGAUUAAAUGUAUUUAGUACAGGCUAAAAGCUGAUGAGCCCCCUGUUAAGGGGGGGCUCAAAAAGUAUAUUAAUAUUAUAAAUUUAUUUAGGAUAGUUCUAUAAUAACUACUAUGUGUUUAGAAUUUUUAUUUUUUAUGAUUUGGGUUUUUUUUCUAGAAAAUUUUUAAUUUCCUAAAUUUUUCAUAAUGUUAAAAUAAGUAUUAAUUAAUAAUUUAAAUAUAGGAACUCGGCAACUUAUUACUCAACUGUUUAUCAAAAACAUAGUUUUAUGAAAAUGUAUAAAAUGAAUUCUGCCCAAUGAUUAGUUUAAUGGCCGCAGUACUUUAACUGUGCUAAGGUAGCAUAAUAAUUUGGCUUUUAAUUAAGGUCUGGUAUGAAAGGAUUUAUGGGUAGUAACUGUCUUUAUUUAACUUUUAAAAAUUUACUUAAAAGGUGAAAAUUCCUUUAAUAUUAAAAUAGACGAGAAGACCCUAGGAGUUUUCAUUUUGUUGGGGCGACAUUUCAGUAGAUAACCUAAGAAAAAAAAUUUGACGGAUAUAUCAAUUAUAAAUAAACUACCCUAGGGAUAACAGCAUAAUAAUUUUUUUUUGUUUGUGACCUCGAUGUUGGACUAGG
rnacentral:rRNA from 1 species